rnacentral:rRNA from 1 species
GUCUAUGGCCAUGCUACUUUGAGCAAGCCCGAUCCCAUCUGAUCUCAGAAGCUAACCAGGGUUGGGCCUGGUUAGUACUUGGAUGGGAGACCACCUAGGAAGAUCAGGUGCUGUAGGUG